rnacentral:rRNA from 1 species
CCUACGGGAGGCAGCAGUAGGGAAUAUUGCUCAAUGGGGGAAACCCUGAAGCAGCAAAGCCGCGUGGAGGAUGAAGGUUUUCGGAUUGUAAACUCCUUUUGUUAGAGAAGAAAAUGACGGUAUCUAACGAAUAAGCACCGGCUAACUCCGUGCCAGCAGCCGCGGUAAUACGGCGGGUGCAAGCGUUACUCGGAAUCACUGGGCGUAAAGGGCGCGUAGGCGGGAUAGCAAGUCAGAUGUGAAAUCCUAUGGCUUAACCAUAGAACUGCAUUUGAAACUGUUAUUCUAGAGUAUGGGAGAGGUAGGUGGAAUUCUUGGUGUAGGGGUGAAAUCCGUAGAGAUCAAGAAGAAUACUCAUUGCGAAGGCGGCCUGCUAGACCAUAACUGACGCUGAUGCGCGAAAGCGUGGGGAGCAAACAGGAUUAGAUACCCGAGUAGUC